rnacentral:lncRNA from 1 species
AAAGGGGAGCGGGGGGCGGAUUGCGGCCUAGUUAUGGCGCGGGCUAGGCCCAUAGGGGAGCUAUAGAGGGAGAGACCACCAGAACCGAUAAUGAGACCCCAGCCCAUAAUGAGAGACCCCAGACCUUAAUGAGAGACCCCAGCCCAUAAUGAGAGACCCCAGACCUUAAUGAGAGACCCCAGACCUUAAUGAGACCCCCCAGACCUUAAUGAGAGACCCCCAGACCUUAAUGAGACCCCAGACCUUAAUGGAGCAGACCCUCAGACCUUAAUGGAGACCCCAGAACGCAUAAUGAGAAGACCCCCAAGACCUUAAUGAAGAGACCCCAGACCCUUAAUGAGGACCCAGACCUUAAUGAGAGACCGCCAGACCUUAAUGAGCAGACCCCAGGACCAUAAUGAGAGACCCCAGACCGUAAUGAGAGACCCCAGACCUUAAUGAGACCCCAGACCUUAAUGGAGAGACCCAUGACCUUAAUGAGAGACCCCGACCUUAAUGAGACCCCAGCCCAUAAUGAGAGACCCCAGACCUUAAUGAGAGACCCCAGACCAUAAUGAGAGACCCAGACCGUAAUGAGACCCCAGACCUUAAUGAAGACCCCAGACCUUAAUGAGAGACCCCAAGCCUUAAUGAGACCCCAGCCCAUAAUGAGACCCCAGACCUUAAUGAGACCCCAGACCUUAAUGAGAGACCCCAGACCUUAAUGAGAGACCCCAGACCGUAAUGAGAGACCCCAGACCUUAGAAUGAGACCCCCAGACCUGUAAUGAGCAGACCCCAGACCUUUAAUGAGAG